rnacentral:rRNA from 1 species
CCUACGGGUGGCAGCAGUGAGGAAUAUUGGUCAAUGGACGAGAGUCUGAACCAGCCAAGUAGCGUGAAGGAUGACUGCCCUAUGGGUUGUAAACUUCUUUUAUAUGGGAAUAAACUGUUCCACGUGUGGGAUUUUGUAUGUACCAUAUGAAUAAGGAUCGGCUAACUCCGUGCCAGCAGCCGCGGUAAUACGGAGGAUCCGAGCGUUAUCCGGAUUUAUUGGGUUUAAAGGGAGCGUAGGUUGAUUGUUAAGUCAGUUGUGAAAGUUUGCGGCUCAACCGUAAAAUUGCAGUUGAAACUGGCAGUCUUGAGUACAGUAGAGGUAGGCGGAAUUCGUGGUGUAGCGGUGAAAUGCUUAGAUAGCACGAAGAACUCCGAUUGCGAAGGCAGUUCACUGGACUGCAACUGACACUGAGGCUCGAAAGUGUGGGUAUCAAACAGGAUUAGAUACCCGAGUAGUC